GACGAACGCUGGCGGCGUGCUUAACACAUGCAAGUCGAGCGGUAAGGCUCCUUCGGGCGUCCACGAGCGGCGAACGGGUGAGUAACACGUGAGUAACCUGCCCCAUUCAUCGGAAUAACCAGUGGAAACGCUGGCUAAUGCCGAAUACGACCACCGAAGGCAUCUUCUGGUGGUGGAAAGCUCCGGCGGAGUGGGAUGGACUCGCGGCCUAUCAGCUUGUUGGUGAGGUAACGGCUCACCAAGGCGACGACGGGUAGCCGGCCUGAGAGGGUGACCGGCCACACUGGGACUGAGACACGGCCCAGACUCCUACGGGAGGCAGCAGUGGGGAAUAUUGGACAAUGGGCGAAAGCCUGAUCCAGCAACGCCGCGUGAGGGAUGACGGCCUUCGGGUUGUAAACCUCUUUCAGCAGGGACGAAGCGAAAGUGACGGUACCUGCAGAAGAAGGACCGGCCAACUACGUG
rnacentral:rRNA from 1 species